ensembl:lncRNA
CCAAGCCCAGGUGCAGAUCACUUUCCAUGAGCUCACCAACCAGCAGGGCUCCAUUUGGCAGCAACCAGCCUAAGAAAAAUUGCUCUGAGGUAUGUGUUCAGCUACCUCCAGCUGCUGCCUGUGCAGGAAUAACAUGAGAUCACUGUCUCAGAGGACGCCUUCUACCCAGCCCCUGGCCAUCAGCAGGUGGCCCUCGAAAGGGAAAAGCCUAUGAGCUAUGGCAUGGGCUAUCUGGCGCCCGGAUGGUGGGAUCGCACCCAGCUCGACACGCGCCAUUUCAGAAAACAGAGUGCCCUUUCUGAAAGUGUGACGGCUCCACUUUUGAGGACGCCAGGGCGCCACUGGACUAUGGUUUGAAGUCAUUAGUGGUUUUCUGUGGGUGAAUUUCUUGGAUUAACAAGAGAAUCUCGGCACAAGAGCCAGCUUCUUUCUACUCCUGCCCUGACACGUAAGCUCUCUUUGUGCUUUCCUAGCAACAAUGACCACAUGCAUCCAGAGUGCUGCUUUGGCUUAACUGCCACCUGCAAUGACCGCUCGAGAACAGGUUGAAGAGUGAAAACACUGCAAAUUCAGCAAACAGUGCUUGUUCCAGAGAGCAUGUUCUCUUAACCCAUGAACUUCUAACAGUGCAACAUGUUCUCUAAUCCCAAUACAUUCUGGCUUCCCUAUUUUUUCCACUAUCAUAAUUGAGUCUUAGGCACUGGUCUCCUCAUAAUUCUGAUAAUGAGGUAAAAUCAUG